CGCGGGGUGGAGCAGUCUGGUAGCUCGUCGGGCUCAUAACCCGAAGGUCGCGGGUUCGAAUCCCGCCCCCGCUA
rnacentral:tRNA from 18 species